rnacentral:misc_RNA from 1 species
GAUGAAGAACGCAGCGAAAUGCGAUAAGUAAUGUGAAUUGCAGAAUUCAGUGAAUCAUCGAAUCUUUGAACGCACAUUGCGCCCGCCAGCAUUCUGGCGGGCAUGCCUGUUCGAGCGUCAUUUCAACCCUCGACUUCCCUUUGGGGAAAUCGGCGUUGGGGACCGGCCGUAUACCGCCGGCCCCGAAAUGAAGUGGCGGCCCGUCCGCGGCGACCUCUGCGUAGUAAUCCAACUCGCACCGGAACCCCGACGUGGCCACGCCGUAAAACCCCCGACUUCUGAACGUUGACCUCGGAUCAGGUAGGAAUACCCGCUGAACUUAAGCAUAUCAAUAAGCGGAGGA